CCUACGGGAGGCAGCAGUCGAGAAUCAUUCUCAAUGGGGGAAACCCUGCUGGCGCGACGCCGCGUGGGGGAAUGAAGGUCUCCGGAUUGUAAACCCCUGUCAUGUGGGAGCAAAUUAAAAAGAUAGUACCACAAGAGGAAGAGACGGCUAAAUCUGGCCCAGCAGCCGCGGUAAUACAGAGGGCUCAAGCGUUGGUCGGAAUCACUGGGCGUAAAGGGUGCGUAGGGUGUUUCGGAAGGCGGGUGUGAAAGGCGCGGGCUCAACCCGCGGACGGCACAUGAUACUGCGAGACUAGAGUAAUGGAGGGGGAACCGGAAUUCUCGGUGUAGCAGUGAAAUGCGUAGAUAUCGAGAGGAACACUCGUGGCGAAGGCGGGUUCCUGGACAUUAACUGACGCUGAGGCACGAAGGCCAGGGGAGCGAAAGGGAUUAGAUACCCGGGUAGUC
rnacentral:rRNA from 1 species